rnacentral:lncRNA from 1 species
UCAUAAAUGUUCAUCAAUUGUGCCUAUCACCAGGUUAAUAUAUUAGGUAUACACCUAAUUCAUAAUAUGUUUAGGCCAAUGAAGGAUGGAUACGGAAUAGUUAUGAAGUAUCAAAUAAUUGUAAAGAAUGAUUUCAUAAUCAUUUUGUAGUGAAUUCAGGAAGUAGGCCCGUCCGGGACUCAAACCAGGGUCCGGUAACUGUCAAGCCAAGACUUUAAUGGUAACGCCAAGAGGUCUGGGUUAAGGUUACUAUAUUACCACCUUCCUUCAGGAGAGUGUCCCCACACUUCUCUAUACCAAGUCUCUCUCAUGUGUACACGCCUCUCCGAUGGCCUCACGGGUACCAUCCCAAUUCACUAGGUGUGGGUUAAGGUCUCCUACAAUAUCGAUUUUCAAGUAUGUUUUCAUAUUUCAUACACACACAGCCUAAAGCACAUGGUAUCUAAUGUUACAAAUAUAUCCAGCCAGGGUCAAUUACUUAUUUUGUAAUUUGUUUGAAUAGCUUUUUGUGUGUUUGUUUUCUUGACAUGAAGGACUUGUGGUGGUUUGAUAUGAAGAACAUGAAGGACUUGAGGUGGUUUGAUAUGAAGAACAUGAAGGACUUGAGGUUGUUUGAUAUGAAGCACUUGAGGUGGUUUGAUAUGAAGGACUUGAGGUGGUUUGAUAUGAAGGACAAUAGGUGGUUUGAUAUGAAGGACAAUAGGUGGUUUGAUAUGAAAUACAUGAGGUGGUUUGAUAUGAAGGACAAUAGGUGGUUUGAUAUGAAGGACAAGAGGUGGUUUGAUAUGAAGGACAUGAGGUGGUUUGAUAUGAAGGACAAGAGGUGGUUUGAUAUGAAGGACAAGAGGUGGUUUGAUAUGAAGGACAUGAGGUGGUUUGAUAUGAAGGACAAGAGGUGGUUUGAUAUGAAGGACUCACAUACAACCAAACUUUAUUUAGAUCAUGCUGGAUUAAUCUGAUUCUGUUCAUACUGUACUAGGCUACCUAAGGUCUAGUAUGCACUAAUGCAGUGGUUCCCAACCAUUCUUUUGUUACUGUACCACCAACUGAAUUUUGCUCUGCCUGGAGUACCCCUGAAGUACCCCCUCGUGUAUUUUACCAGUAGGGCUAUGGGCUCAUGAGUCUUCUCAAGUACCCCUGUGGAUAGACCAGGUACCCCCAGGGGUCCUAGUACCACUGGUUGGGAACCACUGCAGUAAUGAACUCUUAAAGUGGAUGUGAAUGAAGGAUAUGCCAGCAUGUACAUUAGCUAGUGUUGAGAUUUUAAGAUACUAUUUUAAAUGUAAAAAGAAAAAAAAAAAACAUCUGCAUUUUGUACUGCAAUGUACGUACUCGCACGCACACUCACUCAGGAAUUACAUACGACGUUAAUACACCUUUGUUACAUAUUUAUUGUGGAUAAUAUAUUUACUAUUUAGUCACGAUCUCAACAUCUCUGUUUUGAAUGGACAAUGCCUACUGGCAUCAUUGUUUACAGUCUGCUAAAAGUUUACUUCAGAGAUGUAUAUGAAGAAAAAACAUCUACAAUAUUGUAAAUAAAUGUGUAAAUAUGUAAUUUGGUUUACUUUGUGUUUUAUUUUCACUUAACAAUAACAGAUAUGGUGAAGAAAGCUAAAUACAUCUAAAAUGUUAAAUACAUCUUAAAUAAAAUAAAAUGUUAUUGGUCAC